UACGUAGGAGGCAAGCGUUUGUCCGGAAUUACUGGGCGUAAAGCGCGUGUAGGUGGUGGGACAAGUCUGCUGUGAAAGCGCCUGGCUUAACCGGGCGAGGUCGGCGGAAACUGUCCGACUCGAGGACGGUAGAGGGGGGUGGAAUUCCCGGUGUAGUGGUGAAAUGCGUAGAGAUCGGGAGGAACACCUGUGGCGAAGGCGGCCCCCCUGGGCCGG
rnacentral:rRNA from 1 species